UAAAAGAGACCCUAAGUACUUAACACAAAAAGACCUAGGGACUAAUUGGCAAAAUACACAAAAUAAUAACCUAAACCUAGACUCUACAUAAAGAGAACACCUAAAAAAUCUGGGGGGAGAGACGAAAAUACACACAAACAAACACCUAAAAACUGGACGGAUCCGUCGUUUCUUCAGCCACAGACACACAAAAACAGCAAGAAACCCACCUGCUGACAUUCAUUGUCCUUCCUCCAUUUUCAGUAGUCUCAGCUAUGAAAAACCCAUGAAGAUCUCCAUUUUUCUCCCUACAAAAUCAGCAACAUUCCCUAUCACCUAAAGUCCAGCCGAAACUGCCCGGAAAACUCCAUUUCCGGCCACGGAAGUGAGCUAAAAACUAGAUCUAAAGCCACUAUAGUUGCUGCCCGGAAACAACCAUUAAACCCCAUUUAGAACGCCUUAAACCAGUCCCCAUUUUCCGAAUCGAGUUUGUCGCAUGGCUAUGUUUCGAGCCUGAGCUUUCCAUUGGAGCUCAGAGAAAAUUCCCUGUUGGUUGAGUUCGUUUGUUGCUCAUCUUAGUCGUUGCCCCGUUUGCUCUGUCGAGUUGCAAAUUUAACUUUGGAUUCAUCUUUAAGAAUGAGCACGAGUCAAAACCUGCCAAUGAAAGUCAUGACCAAGAUUCCUUUGGAACUGUAUAUGUGGUGGGAAGAUCUGGGUAAAUCAGGACGAGAUGUGGUCAACCUUUACUUGGGGGGUCUCACAGGUUUAUUGAAGAUCAGGCUUAGAGGAGACAUAAUAAAGGUACUGGUUACGUUUUGGGAUCCAGCUCACAACGUGUUUCAUUUCUGGGACUUUGAACUCAUGCCCACUUUAGAAGAGAUAGUCGAUUAUGUUGGGAGUACCGAAGCUUUGAGAUAUAAAUACUUGGUUGCUCCAAGAGCCGUCACUCCGCACAAGUUUCUAGAUUUGCUAAAGAUAAGCAGGGGGUCCAAUACCCAGAUUUGGCAGCUGGUUUUUCCACUCUGCAGUUCAUAUACUAGUGAUACAGACACAUAAGGGGGCUCGACAAUUCAGAAAGCAAAAUUUGCAGCAAAGGGAAUCAACUAAAAUGGGAAGAACGUAGAUGCUUCGUUUUCAUGGUGGUAUUUCUGGGUCUUCUAGUGUUUCCUAGGAAAGAUGGGAAUAUCGACGUACGGAUAGCCGGGGUUGUCAACACUUUGCUUACUCGGGCCAAAAGCACCCUCGCACCCAUGAUAGUGUCUGAAAUAUUCCGAGCUCUCACAGCCUGCAAAGCCGGAGCUGACUUUUUUGAAGGGUGCAACUUGUUGCUACAAAUGUGGAUGAUUGAGCAUCUAUGCCAUCGUCCUCAGUACAUGAACUAUGGGUCGAUGGGAGAAAACUGCAUAGAGAAGUUUGAUACAAGGGUCUACGGGUUCAACAUGCCAGAAUAGGUCGCAGAAUGGAUAUCUUGCCUCCGCUUCUUUACUGCAAAUCAAAUAGAAUGGGCGUUGGGUUGGCUUCCUAUUGAUGAAAUCAUAUACAUGCCAGUCACCGGUCCCCACUUCCUACUGAUGGGUCUCAGAAGUAUCUAGCAUUAUGCCCCAUACCAAGUUUUGAGACAGCUAAGGAGAUGUCAAAUAGUGCCCAAGGAUGAAGACCUUAACCUUCAUGUGGUCGAGAUUCGUUCCGAUGGCCAGUUUCACAAAACAGUGGUUCGCCAGAUUUGGAGUGAGUGCCAAUAUUUGACGGCAAAUACCCGAGUACGUGAUCUAUCCAGAGGUGAAGUCUCACCCGGUUACCUCGUCUGGUACCGAAGGAAAGUCGAGUUUGGAAGGCUAGCUAAAAAACCCCACCUCCAAGAGUUUGUUGAAGCAUAAUAGUGGGAAUGGUUGAUAAAAGAAAAUGAAUAUCGGGCCACUAUCAGCAGGUUAGAAGGGCAGAUCAGAGACCUUAAGUUCGAUAGUGAUGUGCAAACCAUUGCGGAUGAGGGUGAGAAGAAAAAAUUAGCCCAAGAAAAUGAAAUCCUCUAGGCCCAGAUCCAAAAGAUGAAGAUAGCUGCUGAGAAUCCAGAAAGAAGUCGAGCAGAUGAAAGACUCAUUAAUGGCCUCAGGAAGAAAAUAUGUGAGUACGGGGAUGAUUUAGAAAAAUCCGAAGGCAGUUUGGCAAGAGCUCAGGCAUAGUUGGCAAAGAACGCCGAGGGAAGGGCAGAGUUUUUCGACAAUUAAAAAGGAAAUACGAUGGAGAAGUCACAAACCUAAAGAAAAAGCUGACUACCAUUGAGAAUGAGAUGGCUAAACAAGCCAAAAGCUUCAAAACUAAGAGAGAACAUUGCUACGAUUUGAUGGCACAGCUAGAGGGAGACCUACAACAUUUACAAGAAUAGAAUCAUACAGCCACCCAGGUCUUAGAGGCUAGAUCUCAGCAGAUUGGGUGUUUGUUGCAAGAAAAGGGCAUCAUCAGGGAAAGGGUUAGCAGAAUCGUCGACUAUAUUGUGAUGAAAUGCAACAAGUAUGAGGACAUGACCAGGUCCAUGUUCUUCGCCAUAGUAAUGAUAUUUUUCCGCCAAAUAAUGGAGGAUCUCUAUCGCCUCUAGGAUGACAUGGGGCGUAGGCCCGCAGCAAGACCAUUUGGUGUUCCUAGGACAGGAUUGGAGGCACUGAUGUACUCCUGAUUGUGUUUUCUUUUUCGAGUCUAUAUUUUUAUUCCCUAAAGUUGGUUUCGAAUAUGUAUUAAGUUUUUAAUUCUCAAGUACGUAGGAUCGAGUCUUUGUAAGAGAUAAAAAUUAAAGGUCUUGUUUUAAUGAAAAUUUGAAGAAAAAAACAAAAUGUUUUAUUUAUUUUGCA